GUAGGUGGCAAGCGUUGUCCGGAAUUAUUGGGCGUAAAGCGCGCGCAGGCGGUCCUUUAAGUCUGAUGUGAAAGCCCACGGCUCAACCGUGGAGGGUCAUUGGAAACUGGGGGACUUGAGUACAGAAGAGGAAAGCGGAAUUCCACGUGUAGCGGUGAAAUGCGUAGAGAUGUGGAGGAACACCAGUGGCGAAGGCGGCUUUCUGGUCUGUAACUGACGCUGAGGCGCGAAAGCGUGGGGAGCAAACAGGGAUUAGAUACCCUGGUAGUCCACGCCGUAAACGAUGAGUGCUAAGUGUUAGGGGGUUUCCCGCCACUUAGUGCUGCAGCUAACGCAUUAAGCACUCCGCCUGGGGAGUACGGCCGCAAGGCUG
rnacentral:rRNA from 1 species